AUUGAACGCUGGCGGCAGGCCUAACACAUGCAAGUCGAGCGGAUGAAGGGAGCUUGCUCCUGGAUUCAGCGGCGGACGGGUGAGUAAUGCCUAGGAAUCUGCCUGGUAGUGGGGGAUAACGUCCGGAAACGGGCGCUAAUACCGCAUACGUCCUGAGGGAGAAAGUGGGGGAUCUUCGGACCUCACGCUAUCAGAUGAGCCUAGGUCGGAUUAGCUAGUUGGUGGGGUAAAGGCCUACCAAGGCGACGAUCCGUAACUGGUCUGAGAGGAUGAUCAGUCACACUGGAACUGAGACACGGUCCAGACUCCUACGGGAGGCAGCAGUGGGGAAUAUGGGACAAUGGGCGAAAGCCUGAUCCAGCCAUGCCGCGUGUGAAGAAGGUCUUCGGAUUGUAAAGCACUUUAAGUUGGGAGGAAGGGCAGUAAGUUAAUACCUUGCUGUUUUGACGUUACCAACAGAAUAAGCACCGGCUAACUUCGUG
rnacentral:rRNA from 1 species